CAGCAGCGCCCUGCUGGAGCGAGGCGGUGCGCUUUCGCCUCAGAGGCGCCAUGCUCGGCUCGGGCGCCGCGCACCCGGCGCUCUUUCCUCUGAUGAGCCUUCGCUUUUCCUGGCUCUCUCCUCGCCGUCGAUCCCCGACGCUUCUCUCUUCCUGGGCAAAACUUGGGUGGGGGAGAGAAAACCGCCUCGACGAAAAAGGAUUACACCAGCGAAGCAGACAGCCGCGUUGGGCUGGGGAGGGGCGCGUGAGGGUGUCUCCGUGCGCGCUCGAGGGCGCGCGCGCGCCUAGGGGCGCGCCUCGCCGCUGAAAUGCAGGCGGCGGGUCGGCGAGGCUGACAUGGAACCGGGGCACGCUCCGCGGCCCGCGAUGGGGGUCAGCGAGCCGCAGCCGCUCCGGAAAGGAGAGGAAGAAGCCCGGCAAGAGUUCCUCCUCCGUCGGCCCUCAAAGCCACGCCGCCCGGGGAGACCCGGGGAGCUCCGCCUCGCAGCCAGCCCGGCGCCCGGAUCUCCUUAGUUUUGUAAUCCGUCGCAACCAUGAAGUCUCCGACAGCCGACCCUCCCCGUAAGAGAAGGAUGUUGUGGAUUAUUCUUCUAAGCACAAUUGCUGUAGCGUGGACUACCCCCAUCCCCUUGAUAGAGGACUCGGAGGAGAUUGAGGAGUCUUGCUUCGAUCCUUGUUACUGUGAAGUCAAAGAAAGCCUUUUUCACAUACACUGCGACAACAAGGGAUUUAUAAAUAUUAGCCAGAUAACGGAGUCCUGGUCGAGACCUUUCAAACUUUACCUGCAGAGGAACUCCAUGAGGAGAUUAUAUACUAACAGUUUUCUCCACCUGAACAACGCCGUUUCGAUCAACCUGGGGAACAACGCACUACAAGACAUUCAGACAGGAGCCUUUAACGGCCUCAGAAUCCUGAAGAGGUUGUACCUGCAUGAGAACAAAUUGGACAUCUUCAGAAACGACACUUUCCUGGGCUUGGAGAGUCUGGAAUAUCUGCAGGCAGAUUACAAUGUCAUUAAGCGGAUCGAGAGCGGGGCAUUUCGAAACCUGAGCAAGCUCCGGGUCCUGAUCUUGAACGACAACCUUAUCCCCAUUCUCCCCACCAAUUUGUUUAAGUCGGUGUCUUUAACCCACUUGGACUUGCGUGGAAACAGGUUGAAAGUGCUCUCCUACCGAGGGAUGCUGGAUCACAUUGGCAGGAGCCUGAUGGAGAUCCAGCUGGAGGAGAACCCUUGGAACUGUACCUGUGAUAUUGUCCAGCUGAAGAGCUGGCUGGAGCGCAUCCCUUACACUGCCCUUGUGGGAGACAUAACCUGUGAGACCCCUUUCCACUUCCAUGGGAAGGACCUGAGGGAAAUUAAGAGGAAUAAACUCUGCCCAAUGCUUUCUGACUCAGAGCUGGUCAGCAUCGGUGCCCCUCAGUUGCCCUCGAGCAAGGAGAAUGCGUGGCCUACUAAGCCUUCUUCCAUGCUGUCCUCUUUCCAUUUCACCGCUUCCUCUGUCGAAUACAAAACUUCCAUUAAGCAGCCCAGGCCCACCAAACAGCCCAGGGCACACAAGCCACCCCCUACACCUCGAGGCCUAUACCCUGCGCCCAACCAGCCCCCAAUAGCUGGUUACCAGACGAGGCCACCCAUCCCCAUCAUCUGCCCUACUGGCUGUUCAUGCAGUUUGCACAUCAAUGACUUGGGCCUGACAGUCAACUGCAAGGAAAGAGGGUUCCACAAUAUUUCUGAGCUCCUGCCCAGGCCUGUCAAUGCCAAGAAGCUGGUCCUGAGUGGUAAUUUGAUACAGAAAAUUUACCGUUCCGAUUUCUGGAAUUUUUCUUCCCUGGAUCUCCUGCAUUUGGGGAACAACCGGAUCUCCUACGUUCAGGAUGGGGCCUUCGUCAACCUGCCCAACCUGAAGAGCCUGUACCUGAACGGCAAUGACAUUGAGAAGCUGACCCCAGGCAUGUUCAGGGGUCUGCAGAGCCUGCACUAUCUGUAUUUUGAGUACAACCAGAUCAGGGAGAUCCAGCCCGCUGCCUUCAGUCUCAUGCCCAACCUGAAGCUCCUCUUCCUCAACGACAACCUCCUGAGGAACCUGCCUACAGAUGCCUUUGCAGGCACCUCUCUGACCAGGCUCAACCUGAGGAACAACAAAUUCCUGUACUUGCCCGUGGCCGGCGUGCUGGAGCACCUCAACGCCAUUGUGCAGAUUGACCUGAAGCUCAACCCGUGGGAUUGCACGUGUGACCUGGUGCCUCUCAAGCAGUGGAUCGAGGCCAUCAGCUCUGUCAUCAUGGUGGGGGAAGUCCUUUGCUCCAGCCCAGACAACCUUACCCACAGAGACAUCCGCUCUGUGGAGCUGGAGGUGCUCUGCCCCGAGAUGUUGCAUGCUGCUGCUGCCUCGCCAGCCCCUCCAGCGUGGGGCCACCCUAGCCCCACCAGCCCGUCACCCUAUGAGCUCCCCCCAGCUGGGGGAGGCCCGGUGCCCCUCUCCGUGCUCAUCCUCAGCCUCCUUGUACUGUUCUUCUCGUCGGUCUUCAUCGCUGCAGGCCUUUUCGCCUUCGUCCUGCGCAGGCGUCACAAGAAGCUACCCUUCCGGAACAAGCAGCGGCAGGAGACCCUCGACUUGACGGGCAUCCAGAUGCAGUGCCACCACCUCUUUGAGGAGGGGGGCGGCGGAGGCGGUGGGGGAAUCAGCGCCUCCCCGGAAAAGGCACCCCCGGUGGGGCACGUCUACGACUACAUCCCGCAUCCAGUGACCCAGAUGUGCAACAACCCCAUCUACAAGCCCCGCGAGGAGGACGAAGUGGUGGCAGGGGAGCCCGGGCAACCUGGGGACAUGCUUUUGGGAGGUGGUGGUGGCGGUGGUAGUGGUGGUGGUGGAGGAGGAGGAGGAGGAGGAGUUGGCUGUGCAGGGGAACAGUUUGCCGACCCCACAAAGGACGGUGGGAGCAGCAGCUGCUACAGGACCUUGCUGGAGAAGGAGAAGGAGUGGAGCCUGGCCGUGUCCAGCUCGCAGCUCAACACCAUAGUGACCACCAACCAUCACCCGCACCCGCACCCUCCCGGCGUGGGGAUUGGAGGGGGGCUGCCUCUCCUGGGGGAGCUAGCGCUGGUGCCACCUGUCUUCCACCACGAAAAGAACGGUGGGGUGGUGCUCUUCCCCCCUAGUGGUGCCAUUCUAGACAGCAGGGACAGGCCGCCUUUGGCGCCACCGUGCACGGUGGGCUUUGUGGACUGCCUCUACGGCACGGUGCCCAAAUUAAAGGAACUGCACGUGCACCCCCCUGGCAUACAAUAUCCAGACCUGCAGCAGGACGCCAGGCUGAAAGAGACCCUCCUCUUCUCGGCUGGUAAGGGCUUCCCAGACCACCACCAAACCCCCCAAAGCGAAUACCUCGAGUUAAGGGCCAAACUCCAAACCAAGCCGGAUUACCUCGAAGUCCUGGAGAAGACCACUUAUAGGUUUUGAAACAAAACAAAACAAAAGUCUAGCUUUUACAGCCAAAUCCCAGACCCGCCCCACAGCCCCACGGCCCCCCGAGUCCCCACUCCUCGGCUCCCCGCCCUUCCUGCCCCCAAACCACCGCAUGCUGAUACUAGAGGAUACUGCUCUGUGCUUUCCCCCUGCCAGAUGAUGGUUUGGAGGAAAGGCCCUUCUCAGAUGAUCAUGAAUCGAUAAAGUGCCUUUCGCAGACUUUUGCCAGCAGAUGUUAAUCAAUCAUUAUUUUUUUAUACUGGAAAAAAAUGGAGACUUUGACUGUGCCAUGUUGUCUAAGAUAAUGCACCUGAGGUUGAGAGACAGCAACUUGUCCAAGGAUACCCCAUGACCUUUUGGCUGAAGACGGAUUUGAAUCUGACGCAA